AGGAUGAACGCUGGCGGCGUGCCUAAUACAUGCAAGUCGAGCGAAUGGAUUAAGAGCUUGCUCUUAUGAAGUUAGCGGCGGACGGGUGAGUAACACGUGGGUAACCUGCCCAUAAGACUGGGAUAACUCCGGGAAACCGGGGCUAAUACCGGAUAACAUUUUGAACCGCAUGGUUCGAAAUUGAAAGGCGGCUUCGGCUGUCACUUAUGGAUGGACCCGCGUCGCAUUAGCUAGUUGGUGAGGUAACGGCUCACCAAGGCAACGAUGCGUAGCCGACCUGAGAGGGUGAUCGGCCACACUGGGACUGAGACACGGCCCAGACUCCUACGGGAGGCAGCAGUAGGGAAUCUUCCGCAAUGGACGAAAGUCUGACGGAGCAACGCCGCGUGAGUGAUGAAGGCUUUCGGGUCGUAAAACUCUGUUGUUAGGGAAGAACAAGUGCUAGUUGAAUAAGCUGGCACCUUGACGGUACCUAACCAGAAAGCCACGGCUAACUACGUGCCAGCAGCCGCGGUAAUACGUAGGUGGCAAGCGUUAUCCGGAAUUAUUGGGCGUAAAGCGCGCGCAGGUGGUUUCUUAAGUCUGAUGUGAAAGCCCACGGCUCAACCGUGGAGGGUCAUUGGAAACUGGGAGACUUGAGUGCAGAAGAGGAAAGUGGAAUUCCAUGUGUAGCGGUGAAAUGCGUAGAGAUAUGGAGGAACACCAGUGGCGAA
rnacentral:rRNA from 1 species